CCUUUUGUUCAGCCAAAAGUAGCCUAGGGAUAGUGCGUCGCUGGUAACGGCGGGGUGCGAAGCUUCCUGACAAUGUAGUCCCAUGAUUCUGUGGUGUUUGGUUACCGUGAGGUGCCAUGCAGAUCCUGCGAGCAACACGCGGGUGAGACG
rnacentral:ncRNA from 1 species